CCUACGGGUGGCAGCAGUCGAGAAUCAUUCACAAUGGGGGAAACCCUGAUGGUGCGACGCCGCGUGGGGGAAUGAAGGUCUUCGGAUUGUAAACCCCUGUCAUGUGGGAGCAAAUUAAAAAGAUAGUACCACAAGAGGAAGAGACGGCUAACUCUGUGCCAGCAGCCGCGGUAAUACAGAGGUCUCAAGCGUUGUUCGGAAUCACUGGGCGUAAAGGGUGCGUAGGCUGUUUCGUAAGUCGUGUGUGAAAGGCGCGGGCUCAACCCGCGGACGGCACAUGAUACUGGGAGACUAGAGUAAUGGAGGGGGAAGCGGAAUGCGCGGUGUAGCAGUGAAAUGCGUAGAUAUCGAGAGGAACACUCGUGGCGAAGGCGGGUUCCUGGACAUUAACUGACGCUGAGGCACGAAGGCCAGGGGAGCGAAAAGGAUUAGAUACCCGGGUAGUC
rnacentral:rRNA from 1 species